AUGUCUCUUGCCUCGCUCGGUCGCCCGUGUUUUCGACAUAAUCUAUGGGCUGAUCUUGAGCUGGAUGCAGCCAGCAACGUUUAGUUUUCUGGCUGUACGAGACGAGAUUGAUUCGAUGAUCUUUGAGUACGGUUUUGUCUGGAUUUCACAGAUAUGAAUCGUAAUUUAUCCGUCGAAAUAUA
rnacentral:snoRNA from 1 species